UACGUAGGGGGCAAGCGUUGUCCGGAAUCAUUGGGCGUAAAGAGCGCGUAGGCGGCCCAGUAAGUCCGCUCUGAAAGUCCGGGGCUCAACCUCGGAUCGGCCGUGGCGACUCGUGGGCUGGAGCACUGUAGAGGCGGGUGGAAUUCCGGGUGUAGCGGUGGAAUGCGUAGAGAUCCGGAAGAACACCGGUGGCGAAGGCGGUCUGCUGGGCAGUAGCUGACACUGAGGCGCGACAGCGUGGGGAGCAAACAGG
rnacentral:rRNA from 1 species